UGGCUCAGAGUGAACGCUGGCGGCAGGCCUAACACAUGCAAGUCGAACGGCAGCACAGUGGUAGCAAUACCAUGGGUGGCGAGUGGCGGACGGGUGAGGAAUACAUCGGAAUCUACCUUUUCGUGGGGGAUAACGUAGGGAAACUUACGCUAAUACCGCAUACGACCUUAGGGUGAAAGCGGAGGACCUUCGGGCUUCGCGCGGAUAGAUGAGCCGAUGUCGGAUUAGCUAGUUGGCGGGGUAAAGGCCCACCAAGGCGACGAUCCGUAGCUGGUCUGAGAGGAUGAUCAGCCACACUGGAACUGAGACACGGUCCAGACUCCUACGGGAGGCAGCAGUGGGGAAUAUUGGACAAUGGGCGCAAGCCUGAUCCAGCCAUGCCGCGUGGGUGAAGAAGGCCUUCGGGUUGUAAAGCCCUUUUGUUGGGAAAGAAAAGCAGUCGGUUAAUACCCG
rnacentral:rRNA from 1 species